CCUAAGGGCGGCAGCAGUGGGGAAUAUUGGGCAAUGGGCGCAAGCCUGACCCAGCAACGCCGCGUGGGUGAAGAAGCGCCUCGGCGCGUAAAGCCCUGUCAGCAGGGAAGAAAAUGACGGUACCUGAAGAAGAAGCCCCGGCUAACUACGUGCCAGCAGCCGCGGUAAUACGUAGGGGGCAAGCGUUAUCCGGAUUUACUGGGUGUAAAGGGGGCGCAGACGGCGAUGCAAGCCAGGAGUGAAAGCCCGGGGCCCAACCCCGGGACUGCUCUUGGAACUGCGUGGCUGGAGUGCAGGAGGGGCAGGCGGAAUUCCUAGUGUAGCGGUGAAAUGCGUAGAUAUUAGGAGGAACACCAGUUGCGAAGGCGGCUCUCUGGACUGUAACUGACACUGAGGCACGAAAGCGUGGGGAGCAAACAGGAUUAGAUACCCGGGUAGUC
rnacentral:rRNA from 1 species